CCACUGCCCGGAGGUAAGAGCUUAAAGAGGCCGGAGCGUCUCCCUUCUCCACUCCAUCAGUCCCUCCGAGCCUCCUGCGUUGGAAUUGGGAGGCACAGUCCCUAAGAGAAGAGGUCCAGCUGCCAUCUCUCUGUUAAUAGUAGUCUCUCCUUUGCCUGCUUCCUGCGGCAGCCAAGAGUGCAAUGGAGAAAGCUUCCUUAUUUAUGGGGCGCUGAUCCCGGUGACCAGACAUUCCCCGAGGGUGCUCACUCUCUCACUUCUCCCCACAUUUUCCCCCAACCUUCCUUCCACCCCACCAUGACUGGCUCCACAUCCAGCGCUCACCACUGCCCCCACGCCAAGAGUGGCAAAGGAAUGCGGUCCAGGAGCACUCACGUACGAUCUGUGUGCCUCGCCAACAAUGGGGGGUCGGAGGAGGAAGACAAAGAAGGAGGGGUGCUCUUCCAUGUCAACAAGAGCGGCUUCCCGAUUGACACCCACACCUGGGAACGGAUGUGGAUGCACGUGGCAAAGGUACACCCCAAGGGAGGAGAAAUGGUGGGGUCCAUCAGGAAUGCAGUCUUCCUGGCAAAACCUUCAGUGCCCCCAGUUCCAAACUACAGGGUAUCCAUGUCAAUCCCAGAAUGGCUUCAUGCGAUCCAGAAUUACAUGAAGACUCUACAAUACAAUCACACAGGGACACAGUUCUUUGAAAUUCGAAAAACGAGACCACUGAGUGGGUUGAUGGAAACAGCAAAAGAAAUGACUCGAGAAUCUUUACCUAUCAAAUGUCUUGAAGCCGUAAUCCUGGGCAUAUAUCUAACAAAUGGGCAGCCGUCCAUUGAGCGAUUCCCCAUAAGCUUUAAAACCCAAUUCUCAGGAAAUUACUUUCAUCAUGUUGUACUGGGGAUCUACUGUAAUGGCCGCUAUGGUUCACUGGGCAUGAGCCGGAGGUCCGAUUUAAUGGACAAACCUCUGACCUUUCGGACUCUGAGUGACCUCAUCUUUGACUUUGAAGACUCCUACAAGAAAUACCUACACACAGUCAAAAAAGUCAAGAUUGGGCUAUAUGUUCCUCAUGAGCCCCAUAGCUUCCAGCCCAUUGAGUGGAAGCAACUGGUUCUCAAUGUCACAAAGAUGAUGAGGUCGGACCUAAGGAAAGAGCUGGAGAAAUAUGCCAGGGACUUAAGAAUGAAGAUCCUGAAACCCACAAGUGCCCACUCGCCUCCCCUGGAGAGAAGUCGAGGAAAGUCAUUGUCUCCCCGGCGGAGGCAGUCAAGCCCUCCAAGACGGCUUGGGAGGAGAGACAAAUCCAAAAGUGGACCAUGCCUAGCCCUACUGAAGACAGAAGCUAGCAUGCCAGCAUCAUUGGUGUGCUACCUCUCACAGAAACUCUUACCAGUGAUUGAAGAUAAUGGGUUAUUUCCCCAUCCAAAAAGUUUGUUGAACUUGGCCAGAGUUUGAUAUCAAAAUGAUGCUUCGCCCUGCUUCUUACUGGGAGAGGAAGCUUUUGUUUGAGUCACUCCCUUUUCCCCCUCUGGCCAAAAUGUGAUUAAAGACCAUCAGAAGUUACCCUGAAAGUAAAGCCUCCAACCAUAACAGAGCACAAGAUUAUAAUUCACCAAACCGAAGGACCAUACCUACAGAAGACAGAAGUUAGCAUACCAUCAUCUUUGCCAGCACUCCCAAAUAAGAAGGUGACUGACCUCAGUACUCUGAAUGAAGUAGGUUAUCAGAUCCGAAUUUAACUAAGCCAUAAUGGCCAGUGGUGCUUCUGUCUGCACUUUACCCAGCACAUGGCAUCUUCAGGAGGAUUUGCAACUCUUUAUCAAGAUCCUGUGAACUGUAUUUUUAAAAAGUCGCCCAGAAAAAGUAUAAAGGGGUGAUAUUUACUUUAAAAAAAAAAAAAAAAAAAACUUAUCAAGUGGCAACAUGAAAAAGCAAAAAAAAAAAAAAAAAAUCAUAAUAAUUGUGAUUAUGAUAAGCCCUACCUGGGGCUGGACUAACUCCUUUACUCCUAAAUGAGUGGACAACUA